UACGGAGGGUGCUAGCGUUGUUCGGAAUCACUGGGCGUAAAGCGCGUGUAGGCGGCCCACUAAGUCUGAUGUGAAAGCCCGGGGCUCACCCCCGGAAGUGCAUUGGAAACUGGUGGACUCGAGUCCCGGAGAGGAGGGUGGAAUUCCUGGUGUAGCGGUGAAAUGCGCAGAUAUCAGGAAGAACACCCGUGGCGAAAGCGGCUCUCUGGAACGGUACUGACGCUGAGACGCGAAAGCGUGGGGAGCGAACAGG
rnacentral:rRNA from 1 species